UGGGGAAUAUUGGACAAUGGGGGCAACCCUGAUCCAGCCAUGCCGCGUGAGUGAUGAAGGUCUUCGGGUUGUAAAGCUCUUUUGGCGGGGACGAUGAUGACGGUACCCGCAGAAUAAGCCCCGGCUAACUUCGUGCCAGCAGCCGCGGUAAGACGAAGGGGGCUAGCGUUGUUCGGAAUUACUGGGCGUAAAGGGCGCGUAGGCGGCCUUCUAAGUCAGACGUGAAAUCCCCCGGCUUAACCUGGGAACUGCGUCUGAUACUGGGAGGCUUGAGUAUGGGAGAGGGAUGUAGAAUUCCAGGUGUAGCGGUGAAAUGCGUAGAUAUCUGGAGGAAUACCGGUGGCGAAGGCGGCAUCCUGGACCAUAACUGACGCUGAGGCGCGAAAGCUAGGGGAGCAAAC
rnacentral:rRNA from 1 species